AUUUCUUGCUUUCUUCUUUAGUUUUGCUGCUCCUCAUAAUCUUAGAUUGUUGCCUAUUUGAUAGAUUGAGGAACAUCACAAGGAAAUACUAAAGGGAGGAGAAAAAGAUUUAGCUUUUUAGGUUAUUCUUCUAGAAGCUGUGGAUGUUGAAGAAAAGGCAAACAAUUAUCUAAAGGAAGAAAUAGUUGAAAGAGAUCAAUCAAUAUUGCUUCAUUUUUUCUAGACAUAUAUAUGUUUUCUCACCUUGUAGUUUCCUCCCAAUGCUAUACUGAUGUGUUUAUCACCUUGGCAUUUAUCACCUCUCUCCCAAUGCUGCCAUUUUGACUGCCAAGAUCGACCCAAAAAAAAUUACGUCAAAUCAUUCUGGAGGGGAAACAAAAAGAAAUUAAGCAUUUGCAUGGUAAUCGAGUGACUUUUAAGAAAUAGAGGAGUUCACAAAGAGAACUACGCGCAGUUGGUUUCUUCAGAUAUGGAAAAUCUUUUGCAAUGUGUCUUGCCUACGGUUUUUCAUAUAAAUACUCCAAGAAGAUUAUUCUCAUUGCUUAAAGGGAUAAUAGGGUUGUU